rnacentral:rRNA from 1 species
UACGGAGGGUGCAAACGUUGCUCGGAAUCAUUGGGCGUAAAGCGCACGUAGGCGGUCUGUUAAGUCGGGUGUGAAAGCCCCGGGCUCAACCCGGGAAGUGCAUUCGAAACUGACAGGCUUGAGUACGGAAGAGGGUCUCGGAAGUCCCGGUGUAGAGGUGAAAUUCGUAGAUAUCGGGAGGAACACCAGUGGCGAAGGCGGAGACCUGGGCCGAUACUGACGCUGAGGUGCGAAAGCGUGGGGAGCAAACAGG